CCUUGCCAGCCCGCUCAGAAACUCAAAGGAAUUGACGGGGCCCGCACAAGCGGAGGAGCAUGUGGUUAAUUCGAUGAUACGCGAGGAACCUUACCUGGGCUCGAACGUAAGAUGACUGUAGGUGAAAGCUUACAUCUCUUCGGAGCAUUUUACGAGGUGCUGCAUGGUUGUCGUCAGCUCGUGCCGUGAGGUGUCGGGUUAAGUCCCAUAACGAGCGCAACCCCUACCUUUAGUUGCCAUCAGGUUAAGCUGGGGACUCUAAAGGAACUGCCUACGCAAGUAGUGAGGAAGGCGGGGAUGACGUCAAAUCAGCACGGCCCUUACGUCCAGGGCUACACACGUGCUACAAUGGCCGAUACAGAGGGCAGCUACCUGGUGACAGGAUGCAAAUCUCCAAAGUCGGUCUCAGUUCGGAUCGGAGUCUGCAACCCGACUCCGUGAAGUUGGAUUCGCUAGUAAUCGCGCAUCAGCCAUGGCGCGGUGAAUACGUUCCCGGGCCUU
rnacentral:rRNA from 1 species